UGGCAAUUGAAAGGAUAGAGACUGAAGAGAUAGGAAGACUUUUCCCUACGCAUUUUAUUAUACUUUUUAAAAAAAUUCAGAAUGGGUUUUGCUUUACUGCCCAGGCUGACCCAGAAUUCCUGGGCUGGAGUGAUCUUCCUGCCUUGGCCUCUAGAGUAGCUGGGACUGCCGAUGGGAUUCCACAGUGCCACACUGUCAGGCUUUCUGAUGUUUGAAUCACAUUAGUGUAGGCUUCUCUCACUGUUGAACCUUUUUUUGUUUUUUUCUGAACUUUUUACUAACCGAAUUACUAAUUCCAAAUUCUCAGGAACAAACAGAUUUGCUUAAAAAUUAACAUCCCUCCCUAUCAGAAUAUUUUGUACCUAGUACUCAAACAAACAAGGCUUUAUAACACGAAACAGAUGUUACUAAGACCGAAAGUCUCCCCUUGCCGGGGAGUGUGUGGCUCUGUACAAUCCUGACCUCCUGCCAGGCCCUACCUCCUGGGCCUGUCCCGCCUCAUCUCCCUUUUCUGGAACCGAAGCCCCAAGGACGGCGGGCCUUUGCUCUCCCCAUCCACACGGGCUGGUGGCCACAGCCGCUGGAGACAGCGGCACCUGACAGCCUCCUUCCCGGGGGGCACUCAGCGCGGGUGGAUGACCCCUUGCUGGGUCUCCCUCUGAGCAGGACGGGGGACAGAAGUGGUCCCAGGAGAUCGCGCAGGGGCUGCUCCCAGCCCUGGCCUCGGCCUCAACCCCCACCCCUGUGGUCCUCUAAGAACCUUCCCCGCGGUCCCCGCCCCGUCCCGUCCCACCCUCUGCUCUGCAAGUGCUGGGUGCUGCCCCGCCCGCUCCAACCUCCUUCUCCCCGGCGCUGGUCGGGUCGGUCUGGAGGGCCAGGUCUGACCGUGAGGCGUUGGCGUUGGCCGGACUGGCUGCGCCGGACGUGGGGCCGCCUCCAUCCAGUCAAGGCGGAGCCGGCAGCCAGCGGCCAGGGGCUGGAGGCCCAGGCGCUUCCAGCCAUGGGCAGGGGCUCGCUGAGAGCUCCGGGAUUGGCGGUGCCGCGGUGGCUGCUGUCACUACUGCUGCUGUCUCGGGGGCCAGUGUCUGGCGCUUGGUUGCUUCCAGGAAAUACUUCUGGAGAGCCAGUCACCACCCCCUGGGUCCUGGAUGGACAACCCUGGCUCACCAUCGUCCUGAAAGAGCCGAUCUCGACACUAGACUCAGGCCUGGUGGCCUUGGAAGCUGAAGGCCAGGAGUUCCUGCUUGAGCUGGAGAAGAACCACAGGCUGCUGGCUGCUGGUUACACAGAAACCCACUAUAGCCAAGAUGGCCAGCCAGUGGUGCUGGUCCCCAACCACAUGGGCGAGACACUUCUGUGGGCUCUGAGGACAGGGUGAGGGUGCUGGGGAUGGCACCUGGGAUAGCUCCUCACGAUCCCUACCCCAACCCUCCAACUCCGUUCCUAGGGGAAGUUGGAGCCACCCCUCCCCUCCCCUUCCUGCUCCCGUUCCCUCUUGGCUUCUGCCCUGGCUGAGGUUUGGGCUCAGGUUCCUUCCUCUCCAGGACCACUGUCACUACCACGGAGAGUGAGGGGCUUCCCCAACUCUUCGGUUAUGCUCAGCACCUGCUCUGGGAUGAGGGGCUUGAUCAGGCUCAACAGCAAUGCCAGCUAUUACCUGCAGCCCCUGGCCACCUGGAGACCCAGAGGACCUCUCAACCCACAGGACUUUCCGGAUGGAGAGGCUGCUCACCUGGAAAGGGACCUGCCAGCUACAGUGACCCCCGAGGACAAAGGGGGCAUGGCCAGGCUUCGUCCUGCCCCUCAGAGCAGGGAGAGGCGAGAAGCCCCCAGGGGCCAGAGGUACCUGGAGCUAUACGUAGUAGCCGACCACCCCCUGUACUUGACCCAGCACCGGAACUUGAACCAUACCAAAGAGCGCGUCUCCUGGAGGUUGCCAGUUAUGCAGACCAGAUCCUCAGGACGCUGGACAUCCAGGUGGUGCUGACAGGCCUGGAAGUGUGGACAGAGCAAGACCACAGCCGCGUCACACCCACGCCUGGCAACGCCACGCUCUGGGACUUCCUGAAGUGGCGCGGGGGCUGUGGGCACGGCUGGCCGCACGACUCGCGCGCAGCUACUCACGGGCUGCACCUUCCGGGGCGCCACUGUGGGCCUGGCGCCCGUCGAGGGCAUGUGUCGCGCAGAGAGGCUCGGGCGGUGUGAGCACGGACCACUCGGAGCUCCCCACCGGCGCUGCGGCCACCAUGGCCCAUGAGAUCGCCACAGCCUGGGCCUCAGCCACGACCUCGAUGGCUGCUGCGUGGAGGUCGCGGCAGAGCAAGGCGGCUGCAUCAUGGCCGCCGCCACGGGUACUCGCGGGCUAGGGCGGGGCCUAGGCUUAUUCCUCUGCGUGCUGCUUCACGUUAUCCCUCAGUUUCUCUUUUGUAAAAUGGUGGUGGUGACAACCACUUGUCCUCAUGGUUGUUUAUGAGGCCUCAGUGGAAGAAACGCAGGUAAAGUGGAUUCUCACGAGUAUGAAGAUUUUGAGAAAAACCUAGCAAGGUUGCUCCAACGCCGGAGCAAACGGCACGCGUAGGGCUGCGGUGUGGCUAACGCCAGGCCUGAGAAUCCAGGCUGAGUGCGGGCUGGGGUGUCCUGCGCUCCCGACGCCUCCCCCCCGCCCCUAGGCACCCGUUCCCGCGCCUCUUCAGCGCCUGCAGCCGCCGCCAACUGCGGGCCUUCUUCCGCAAGGGGGGCGGCGCGUGCCUCUACAACGCCCCAGACCCCGGGCUUCAGAUCCCGCCCACGCGCUGCGGGAACGGCUUCGUGGAAGCGGGCGAGGAGUGCGACUGCGGCUCUGAGCAGGUCAGGUCCGCCUGCCCGACCUCUGGGGACCGAGCCUGGCCCUCCUCCAGCGGUCAGGGGCGCGGUGCCCGCAUCUGUUCCAGUUUCACUUUUCUGGCCCCAGAAGUGCCCAGACCCCUGUUGCUUCGCCCACAACUGCUCGUUACAUGCGGGGGCCCAGUGUGCCCACGGGGACUGCUGCGCGCGCUGCCUGGUGAGGGCGGGUUGGUCCUGGUUGGUUGGCGCCCCCUGGUCCUCUAUGAGCGGGUCGCCUGGCCCUCGCGCCGGCUCCCCAUCUCUGAACAAGCUUGGCUCAGAUCUGUCACUGUCCAUUGACUCAACCGGGCCCCUGCGCAGCUGAAGCCAGCUGGCUCGCCGUGCCGCCAGGCUGCAGGAGACUGUGACCUCCCUGAGUUCUGCACUGGCUCUUCCCCCACUGUCCCCCGGAUGUUUACCUGCUGGACGGCUUGCCCUGCGCGGGAGGCCAAGGCUACUGCCUGGAUGGCGCGUGUCCCACGCUGGAGCAGCAGUGCGCACAGCUCUGGGGGCCUGGUGAGAGCGUGCCCUAGCAUCUGGCCCCUCCUCGGGUCUGCCCUUUCCUCCCGUAGGCAGGAUCUGCUGAGGAACUGAGGCUCUCAGAGCGUGGACCGGGCUGGGGCUUCGGCUGCGCUGCCCCAGUGCCCCUCUUUGAUCUUCAGGCUCCCGCCCAGCCCCCGAGGCCUGUUUCCAGCUGGUGAACCCCGCGGGAGACGCCACUGGGAAUUGCGGCCAGGAUGGCUCUGGCCGCUUCCUGCCUUGUGCUCAGAGGGACACUCAGUGCGGGAAGCUGCAGUGCCAGGGCGGGGAGCCCAGCCCCCUAGUGCCACACAUCUUGCCUGUGGAGUCCACACUUCACUUAGACGGCCACCAGGUGGCUUGUCGUGCAGCUCUGGUGAUCCCCGAUGCCCAGCUGGACUUGCUGGACUUGGGCCUGGUAGAGCCCGGCACCCAGUGUGGUCCUAGAAUGGUGUGCCAGGACAGGCGCUGCCAGAACACUUCCUCCCAGGAGCUGGAGCGCUGCCUAACUACCUGCCACAACCAUGGGGUUUGCAAUAGCAACCAUAACUGCCACUGCUCUCCAGGCUGGGCUCCACCCUUCUGUGACAAGCCGGGUUCGGUGGCAGUGUGGACAGUGGCCCAGUGCACCCUGAAAAUGGCGACACGUUCCUUCUGGCAGUGCUCUUCAGCUUCCCUGCUCCCUCUGCUCCCCUGGGGUGGGCCUGGCCUGGUGCUACUCCGGCUCCUGGGCUCCACCUCCAGCGAUGCCCCGGGGCUAUAGGAGAGACCAGGAAUGCAGUGGGCCCAAAGAUGGCCCUCUCAGGAACCAUAGCCUGGGUGGCAUUUACCUUGCGCAGUUGGGGUCCGUGGCCAUUGGAGACCCCCAGCCCCUGGAUGCAGAGGCUCCUGCCGACUGUGUCAGCAUUCAUUCUCCACUGUUGCUCCCAGACCCUGAGAACUCUGCCCAAGUUCAGCAGUCACCCUGAGAAGCCUGUGCCCUGCUGCCCUUUUUGAUCUACAAGAAUCUCAGCAGGUCAAGUCUAGACACCAAGAUCCUAUCUGUGGGGGAAAGGUGGCUCCUGAGAUGAGUAGACAGGUGACCACUGACAGCCAUUCCAGGAACUUGGAUCCCAAGGACAGACACAGCGAGUCAACUGAUCUCCUGCACCUUCUGAAGCUUGGAGGUUUCUUCCUGCCUUGUCAAGGAGCUCCAGGACCCAAGCUUCAUCAGAAGUUGCUUGAUGUUGUCCCUGCUCUUGAGGGCUGGGGCAUGCUGGGUACAGCUUCCAGCCCAAGAAUCCAUCCACAAAGGAUUGAAGGUCCCAUAGUCCCCAACCCCCAGCAGGGGAGGCCUCUGUCCUGGGAGCCUGGCUAUGUCUGCUUUGUGCACUUUCCCUCCAUGCAGCUCUCUGGAGGGCAGGGACUCCUGAGACUCAACAUUUCUGAUGGAGCCCACAUUUCCUGGAGCCUGGCCCUUGCAAACAAGCAAGCAAACAAAAUCUUUGAUAUCUCCUUUCUGGUCUCCUCCUACCCGUCCUGUAUCCGGGAAGCUUCUGUAGCCCCUACCCUGACUCCCAGUUCUCCAUCUGAGGUUGUAGAGGGUGUGGCCUUUUGCAGCCCUCUUCACUUGGACUUUACUCAGUCCUCCAUUCUGUAGGAGAGGCCUGAGGAGUCAGGUCAGGAAAGACAGUGUAGAGUCAGAAGAAAGGCAGGCUUCCUGGUGCCUCUGUGAAUCUUUUCUGUUGUAAAUUCAACCCUUGGGGUGUCCUGAGGGGCCACUUGGAGUGAUGUGGUGGGUGGAACCUCCAGUGGUAGCCAGGACACCUGGAUUCAGGAGGGUGUUGCCCAGGUUGAAUUAUCCCUUUGCUUGUCCCUCCUGUCCCUUUGAACAUUCUUGUCUCCUGUUGCUCAUGCCAGAGUUGCUGAGUGAUCUGUAUUAGGCAGCUGUUGCUUUGUAACAAAACCACCUCCAAAACUGAGUUGCUUAAAACAACAGGCAGUACAAUCAUACUUCUGAGGGUGUGAAGAAUUGGAGAAUCUUUGCUGUCUACCAUUGGGAUCCAGAGAAGCGGCAGCCCCAGCUCAUCUAUAGAUUCGUCAUGGUUCCAAUAAACAUCCCAAGACAGUUUUGGUUUUUUGGUGGGGCGGGGGGCUUGACAAACUGCUCCAAAAAUGGACAUGGAACAGCAAAAAUCCAGGAAAAACCAAAAGAAAUUAAAUUAAGAAAAAAGGCCGGGGAUUUAGUUCAGUGGUUCCACCACCUGCCUCUCAAGUGCAAGGACCCAAGUUUGAUCCCAGUACCAAAAAAAUAAAAUAAAUUAAGAAUAAAAUAAGGAACAUUUGGAUGAUGGUAUCAAGAUUUAUUGUAAACUUCUAGUACAGCCAACAGUGAGGGCCACUGUUACUUCAUUACUUACCCUCAAUGCCCAAGCACGAGGGACUAAAUGCAACUACUUUAUGAUGCCACUUCUGUCUCACGGGUACCUGUGGGAUUUUAGUUUAGUGAGAACCCAGAGAAGUUAAGGCCUCUGUGAAAGAAGGUGCUGCUCAGUUCCCUGGAGAGGGAGG
ensembl:lncRNA